rnacentral:rRNA from 1 species
UGCUCUCUUGUGCGGCGAUUGGCGGACGGGUGAGUAAUAUAUCGGAACGUGCCCAGUAGCGGGGGAUAACUACUCGAAAGAGUGGCUAAUACCGCAUACGCCCUACGGGGGAAAGGGGGGGAUCGCAAGACCUCUCACUAUUGGAGCGGCCGAUAUCGGAUUAGCUAGUUGGUGGGGUAAAGGCUCACCAAGGCAACGAUCCGUAGCUGGUUUGAGAGGACGACCAGCCACACUGGGACUGAGACACGGCCCANACUCCUACGGGAGGCAGCAGNGGGGAAUUUUGGACAAUGGGGGAAACCCUGAUCCAGCCAUCCCGCGUGUAUGAUGAAGGCCUUCGGGUUGUAAAGUACUUUUGGC